AGUGGCUCAUUCACCGACUUAUGUCAGCCCCUUCGGGACGUGCUACAUAAAAUACGAAUGACGCACAACAAGGUGCCUGCCGUCCAACUUCUGAUAUCAGCGUAGCUAUAUCAACCAUCGGGCGAAACGUCGAGUUAGGCACCGCCU
rnacentral:sRNA from 2 species